GUCCUAGCCGUAAACGAUGAACACUAGGUGUGGGAGGUAUCGACCCCUUCCGUGCCGCAGCUAACGCAUUAAGUGUUCCGCCUGGGGAGUACGGCCGCAAGGUUGAAACUCAAAGGAAUUGACGGGGGCCCGCACAAGCGGUGGAGCAUGUGGUUUAAUUCGACGCAACGCGAAGAACCUUACCGGGGCUUGAACUGCAGUGGACAGCUCUAGAAACAGAGUCUCCCCGAAAGGGGCUGCUGUAGAGGUGCUGCAUGGCUGUCGU
rnacentral:rRNA from 1 species